AAACUAGAGGCUCUAAAGAGCCUGUGUCGCUCACCUUGGUGUUUGUCCAUAUUAAACAAAGGACACAGAUGGAUUCAUGACAAAAUUGUGUUUUGGUGUCAGAUGGUGAUGUGUUUGAAGUUCUUACUUUACUGAACGUUCUUGCUACUUACAAUUAUCUGUAUCUACAAUGAACUUGGCCCAUUAGUAACAGAGGAAAAUAUUUUGUAAAUUGACUAUAAAGGGC
rnacentral:lncRNA from 1 species